AAAUUGGAACAAGGGUUUUUUUUUUCUUUUUCUUUUGGGUUGUAACGGGGUUUUGGUUUAGAGUACAUGAAAUCAUUCUCUCACUACAUUUCUUUCCUAUUAUUCCUGUAGGGUCUUGCAAUCCUCUUUUCCUUUUAUCUAUAGUGAAUGUAGCAUUUUUCAAAAGUUGUUCUUUUAUUGUUUUUCGCUUUUCUCUUUCUUUAUUUUCAUGUUGUUGUUGUUUUUUUUUCUUUCUUUUUUCUCUUUUUUUUUCUUUUAUACGACAUUCACUUACUAUUCACGUACUGCAAAGCUACCCCAAACUUAAAGGUUGCUAUUCCAACAGCAACCUCAAACUUAGAUAGAAACGUAGAGAUGAAAUCA
rnacentral:lncRNA from 1 species